GAGUUUGAUCAUGGCUCAGGACGAACGCUGGCGGCGUGCUUAACACAUGCAAGUCGAGCGAUGAAGCUUCCUUCGGGAAGUGGAUUAGCGGCGGACGGGUGAGUAACACGUGGGCAACCCGCCUCAAAGAGGGGAAUAGCCCUCCGAAAGGAGGAUUAAUACCGCAUAAAGUUAGAGUUUCGCAUGAAACUUUAACCAAAGGAGUAAUCUGCUUUGAGAUGGGCCCGCGUCCCAUUAGCUAGUUGGUAAGGUAAUGGCUUACCAAGGCAACGAUGGGUAGCCGACCUGAGAGGGUGAUCGGCCACAUUGGAACUGAGACACGGUCCAGACUCCUACGGGAGGCAGCAGUGGGGAAUAUUGCGCAAUGGGGGAAACCCUGACGCAGCAACGCCGCGUGGGUGAUGAAGGUUUUCGGAUC
rnacentral:rRNA from 1 species